GAGUUUGAUCGUGGCUCAGGAUGAACGCUAGCUACAGGCUUAACACAUGCAAGUCGAGGGGAAACGACAUCGAAAGCUUGCUUUUGAUGGGCGUCGACCGGCGCACGGGUGAGUAACGCGUAUCCAACCUGCCCAUCACUUGGGGAUAACCUUGCGAAAGUAAGACUAAUACCCGAUGAUAUCUCUAGACGACAUCUGAAAGGGAUUAAAGAUUUAUCGGUGAUGGAUGGGGAUGCGUCUGAUUAGCUUGUUGGCGGGGUAACGGCCCACCAAGGCAACGAUCAGUAGGGGUUCUGAGAGGAAGGUCCCCCCACAUUGGAACUGAGACACGGUCCAAACUCCUACGGGAGGCAGCAGUGGGGGAUAUUGCACAAUGGGGGGAAACCCUGAUGCAGCGACG
rnacentral:rRNA from 1 species